CAUCUUACUAGGAUGUGCCUGCUGCCCCUGGCAAGCACGGGCACAGCUAGGACUCCGGCCUUUCGCUGACUUUUCUUUCUGAAGCAAGCACGGAAACGAGCUGGAGAGAGAAGAACCAACAGGUUCCUGAGGGGUAUGAAUGAGGGGUUACUUAUAGAAGUGGAAAUGACUUAGACAUCUGUGUCAACAAAACCCACUACACCAUCUUGAGACAGUGUCACAGGAGACCUGAGAUUGGAAGGGAGAAGGGAGGCAGAGCAGAAUGCUCCAGAGACAGAGAGCUUCUCAUGAGGAGAAGGAGGAAGGCAAAAAUGGAGGCGGAUGUGAACCAGCAUGGCUUUAACCAGCCACAGGUAUUUUAUCACAGUAAUGGAAAAUUGACUAAUAGGACACAAAAUCCUUGAAGAACACAUCCCAGCUACACCAAGCAUGAGAUAAUAAGGAAGCACAUGGUCUGAUGGGAUUACAUUACAGAUGGAGGUAAACUAGCAGAAACUCUACCUCGAGACUCUCAGUUCAUCCAACUGUGCACAACUCAUGCCCUUGCCUGCAGUCUGCUCUAUCAAUGGAGACAACUAUGCCUUGAGGGCUGGGAAAGAAGUAUGUGUGCCUUCCAAAGUCAGCUGUCAGCUACGGGAGGCAGGGAUUCAUCAACACCUCGAUUCUUCAUGUGUUGGUUGGGGAACUCUUGAGAUGAGUGCCCACCUUAUUUCUUAGAAGCCUUCUUGCGCAUCUUCCAGUUGCCCACAUGACUAGGUGCUCAGUCACACUCUUUGACUGAGCUCUGCUCAUGGAUCUUUCUCUUUGCUAGUCCUUCACCAGUGCCCUGUGGGAUGAUUGCCUAAUGACCUCAGCACUCAAGUACCUUUCUUGUCAUGUACAAACGCACUGCACAAUCACAUGCUCCUAAUCCCUCCAAAAAGAUUUGUCUAACAAUCAAAGGGAUGUUGGGUCAUAUUAAAUAGAUAUUUAUGAGGGCAAAAUAACCCAAGAUAACUUAGUUCUGGACUUGCAACAUCCCAGUUCUCCAAAUCAGACUUGUAGCCUGUUUUUUUAUUUAAAUAAUGUAUUUUAUUGAGAAUUUCAUGAAAUAUUAUUUCAAUCAUAUUCAUACUCUGACUCUUCACCUUAAUGUCUCUGCCUCCUGUAUCUACCUGCCACUUAUCUACCACCUUUCAAUGUAGUGUCCUUUUAUCUAGUUCCUUUAGCCCACUGAGUCUUUGUCCUGCCCAUAUAUAUACUCAUGAGAGUGGGACUGCCCACUGGACCUACCGGCCACCACACUCUUAAAGAAAACUGAUUUUUCCCUCACCCCAAAUCCAUCACUUGCUGAAGGUUCCUCAAGAAGUUGAGGUGCUCACAAGCUCCUGGCCCUUCCAUGCUAGAAUACCGACUGGCUUGAUAUUAUUCAGGUUUUGUGCAGGCAGACACAGCUGCUAUGAGUUCUCUUCUGCAACAGUCCAGUCAUGUCCAGAAGAUACAGCCCUGUCUUCCAUGACCACUGGCUCCUAGAAUCUUUCUAGCUUUUCUUACCUGAUAGUCUCAGAGCCUAAAUAAUGGGUAAGACAAGGUGAUAUAGAUGUUUGUGGCUGACCAUGCCAAAUACCCUUUUUCUCUUUACGUUUGAUCAGUUGUUUCUGUGUUAACUGCCACUCACUGCAUAAAGAAACUUCUCAGAUGAGAUCUGAGAGUUGUUCUAAUCUGCGGGUAUAGAGACACAAAUUCAGAGGGCAGUUUGAAACUAUGUCCAUUUAGCAGAACAAUUGGAGUAGGUUCACCCCAGGGACCCACGAGUUCUCCAGUUGAGUUCUCGACCAGAUCUGCAGUAUUAGGCAAGUAUUUCCUUCUGUGAGCCUGAAGUCCCACCAGGAAAUGGUUGGUUCCCCCUUAACAUUCCUGCCACUGUUGCACCCGUGGGCAUAUCUCACCACUGUGGCUAGGUAGUUCACAGGAUUCCCAGGUGGAGAGAUGACUGAUGACUUUCCCAGCCAGUAUGUGAAAACUAGUCUGCAGAAAAGGAUCUUCCUGCUCAGAACCAACUUUGUUUCUCCGUGUACUCUGACUAAAGUGUGUGGUAUCUUCAGCAACAGAUCUCCAGUUAUGAAAAAAAAUCUGUGACAACAGCCUGCACUAUUUGCAGGAUGGUUACUAGAGCACCCCUGAUUUUAGCCUCUAAUUCUUUUAUUAAUGAGAUACCCCAAAUUGAGGAGGAUCCUACCAUCUUUAACAGGUCCAUCAAGUAAGUGCAAAACCAACACUUACUUGAUAUGAAGAUUAAGCUUGUGGUAGGCAACCUAAAAUCCUAUUAGCUUUUAAAGGGCCAUAUCACAGUGCUGAUUCAUAUUCCUAUUGGAAUUAGCUAAAUUGUGUGUCUUUCACAACUACACUAAUGUCAGAGUGAGUAUUACAAUUUUCUUUAACUUCUUUUAGUGUAAUGAUUUUCAUUUUUUUUCUAUCUUAGAACAUGUUCAAAUCCUUGUAAGUCAGAGUCUGUGAUACAAUAUGUCAUCUGUUUGUCCAGCUAUUCCUCUCUUUAUCCACUCCUAUUUCAAGACUUAUAAUGGAAAUCAGGAAGUCAAGGCAGCAACCUGGAGGUAAGGUCUGGAGAGGCAACGGAGGACUGCUGCUUCCUGGCUGGCUUCCCAAGGUUUGCUCAGCCUGCUUCAUACACAUCUUGGACCACCAGUCUAGGAGUGGCAUAACCCACAAUAUGACUAACAGAUAAUGCAGGCUUUUUUCUUGUUUCUUUCUCUACUACCUAUACAACCAGCUACAGUUUGUUAUCACAGCCUGUGUUCAAUCCCUAGGACCCAUAUGAUGGAAGGAGAGGGCUCACAAUACAAGUUGUCCUCUAAACACCACAGGCAUGCACAUACAAAUGCACACACAACAUGUACACACAUACAGAGUAUGAUAAAACAUGUAUUUAAACAUUCUAUGUGAAUUAUUAUAUAUGUGUAUCUUAAUAGAUUUAAAAACAUAGCACUAUUCUAUUCAUUCAAACCACCAAAUCAAUCAUGUUUUGAACUACUAUUAAUUGUUAACUUACAUACUGACUUAGUGUUUCUGUUGCUGUGAUAAUACACCAUGACCCAAAGCAACUUGGGAUGAAAGGGUUUACUUCCGGUUAUAACUCUCGAUUAUUCCCCGUCACUGAGGGAAACCAGGAGGCAGAAUCUGAAGUUGAGGUCAUGAAGAAGUGCUGCUUACUGGCCUGCUUUUAUGGCUCAGCUUGCUGCCUUUUUUUUUUAAGAUUCAAUUUAGUAUCACUUUAAUCUUUUUUUAGAACUCUUUUUGAUUCUUUGUGAAUUUCAUAUUCCCAAUCCCACUCUUCUCCCCAUCCUUGCAUAUUUGCCCUCUGCCUCUGUAUCCUUCUCCCCCCAAAGAGAAAGAAAUAACAUAAAAAAACCAAACAGCUCACUUUGGAAGCUGCGGUAUAUCACAGUGUACCGUUUUGCUCAGAUAGCUUUACUUACAAGUGUUCAUUGCAGUGAGUCAUUGGUCUGCUUGGAAGCCUUUGCCUUUUGUUAUACUAUCAGUACUGGAUCCUUAUGAGAGCUUCUCUCAGAUAUCUUGUUACCCCUUGUCAUGGAGAUCCUGAAGCUUUGGUACUGUGGGAGUGUUCUCUUCAUGUGGUCCAACAGUUCACAGAUGGAAUAAAUGUUGGGGUGACUCACUCGAAGCCCUGGAUCUGGGCCUGGGUGACGGCUGUAUUGUUCAGACUGCCAGCUCUCCUAUGCCCAUGUCACCAAGACCAGCUUUCCAAUCUUUGCCCAGGCAAGGGACAUGGUAGCUGGCAAGAGGUGGGACUGGCUCUCCUACAGUCACACCAUCAGGGCCAGCUCUAUGACACUGUCCAGGUGAGGGGGCUAAGCCAGCUUGCCCACCUGCUGCAGGUUGUGAGGACUGGGAGAGGGUGUCAUCCUGCUUCUUAUACACUCUACUCCUGGUACCAAUUUCUGUCUUAGGGUUUCUCUUGCUGUGAGAAAAGACCAUGAGCAAAAGUAACUUGGGGCAGGAAGGGUUUGUUUUAGUUUACAGUUCCACAGCACAAUCCACCACUGAAGGAUAUCAGGGUAGGAACUCCAGGCAGGAAUCUGAAAGCAGGAACUGAAGCCGAAGGCAUGGAGGAAUGCUGCUAACCGAGUUCCUAGGUGGCUUGCUCAGCCUUCUUUAUUAUGAAGUUCAGGACCUUCCUAGGUGUGGUACCACCCACUAUGGGUUGGGCGCUCCCACUCCCACAUCAAUAAUUAAUCAAGCAAAUGCAUUACAGGCUUGCCCACAGAGCAAUCUGGUGGAUAUAUUUUCUCCAUUGAGGUUCCCUUCUGCCAAGCUUAUGUCAAGUCGAUGAAUUGCUAGCCAGUACACUUUCAGAUUUGUUUUAACUGUGAGUAUUUUACCUUCAUAAACAUAUGUAGAACAUAUGCAUGUCUGGUGUCCUUGAAGGCUUGAUGAGGGCAUCAGAUUCUCUUUGGACAGAAACUACAGAUAGUGUCAGGCUACCAUGUGUGUGCUAGGAACCAAAGGCAGGUUCCCUGCAAGAACAGUGCUUUUAACUGCUGAGCCAUUUCUUCCGCCCCUGAAUACAUACUUUCAAAAUAUACACAGACUCACCAAGCUUUGAAAGACACCAAUGAAGGCUGAAAUUGUAAAGAACAAUUCAAGUAGGUCCUGAAAUGUCAACUGUCUAUGAUGGAAUUUAAACCACUUUGUUUUCUUAAGUUUUCCUCACAUUUUCUGAGGUGGUAUAAUUUUGUUUUGGAUUUAUUCUUAUUUAUAAUGCAGGUGUUAUCAUUGUAUUGGGGUUUACAUAGGCCACAGGAGAUAUGAUCUGAUACUGUUCUAAGAUGCUGGCUGAUGGGCACCUAAGGUUUGGUACUGAUGAAGUCCAAAGCUAAUGACAUAUGAAUAACGAGAGCCAAAGUUGAUUUCUUAUUAUAAAUGUCCAAAGUCUGUUCAGCGUGACCUAUCCCCUUCAUCAUCAAUAUAUCCAUUGUGUCUCAGAAAUGUCUGGAGUUUUGGCAGAUUUUAAAAAUGCUUUAAAUUUUAAAGUGGGUUAUGCAGAUAAUUGCAUAAAAUGUAUCUGUCCAGACUGACAUUGUGGUUAUUAAGUUAAUGUGCACGCUAUCUAAUGAAGUUCCCUAUUAUCCUUCACUCUCUGCCUCAAGAAGUGACCAGUGUCUUCUAUGGUAAUAAUUUCCUUGUACACUUAUUGUCUGUGGAUGAAUUCCUAAGUAACACAUAUCAGUUUUAUCUGUUGCUGAAUUAUUGAAAUGGCAUGAUGCUUCACUGUGUUUAUGAUGCACUUCCUCUCAACAUUGUAAAAUUCAUCACAUUGUUGCAUAGAAUUGAAUAAUUUAUUUCCUUGCUUUAUGGAGAUGGAUACCAUAAAUAUUCCAUACACCACGUUGUUCACUUAUUUCUGGAUUUUGGUAAUUACUGAAAAUGUUGUUCCCAAUAUUCUUGUCCAUUUUCUUAAUCUAUAUAAACAAGUCUAUCUCCAAGGUCCAUGGAAUAUCCAUUUGUAUUCAGCAAUAUCACAGCAAUGAUUUUCUUGCCUCACAUUCUUACCAUCAAUUACCAUGUAAUUUCUAAAUCAUUAUGGCAUGGCCCACAUUUUAUAUUGCUGGGCUUUUUGAUUUUUUGCCAAACUUUUGAGAGUAUGGUUGCAUCUGAUUCUGAUUUAAAUUCUCUAAGUGACUAAGGGACUGAGUACUUUUCAUGUCCAUUAGCCCUGUAGACAUCACUUUCUAUGAGAAGCAUUUAUCUUUGAGCUUUCCUUUCUCUAUCAUGUUGUAUUAUUUUUUCAUUCAUUUUUAACAUUCUUUAUAUAUUCUGCAUACUGGUCCUUUUAAAAAUUGUACACAUUACAAUUAUGUUCUUCUAUUUUAUGUCUUAUAUUUUAACUCUUUGCAUUAUAUUUUAAUCAAUAGAAUAUUUUUCAUACUUC